rnacentral:rRNA from 1 species
GUGUCAGCCGCCGCGGUAAUACGGAGGAUGCAAGCGUUAUCCGGAAUCAUUGGGCGUAAAGAGUCCGUAGGUGGCACUUCAAGUCUGCUUUCAAAGACCGAAGCUCAACUUCGGAAAGGGAGUGGAAACUGAAGAGCUAGAGUAUAGUAGGGGUAGAGGGAAUUCCUAGUGUAGCGGUGAAAUGCGUAGAGAUUAGGAAGAACACCAGUGGCGAAGGCGCUCUACUGGGCAUAUACUGACACUGAGGGACGAAAGCUAGGGGAGCGAAAGGGAUUAGAUACCCCUGUAGUCCUAGCGGUAAACGAUGGAUACUAGGCGUAGUGCUGUUAGAAGGACUGUGCCGAAGCUAACGCGUUAAGUAUCCCGCCUGGGGAGUACGCACGCAAGUGUGAAACUCAAAGGAAUUGGCGGGG